GACGAACGCUGGCGGCGUGCCUAAUACAUGCAGGUUGAGCGCUGAAGGUUGGUACUUGUACCAACUGGAUGAGCAGCGAACGGGUGAGUAACGCGUGGGGAAUCUGCCUUUGAGCGGGGGACAACAUUUGGAAACGAAUGCUAAUACCGCAUAAAAACUUUAAACACAAGUUUUAAGUUUGAAAGAUGCAAUUGCAUCACUCAAAGAUGAUCCCGCGUUGUAUUAGCUAGUUGGUGAGGUAAAGGCUCACCAAGGCGAUGAUACAUAGCCGACCUGAGAGGGUGAUCGGCCACAUUGGGACUGAGACACGGCCCAAACUCCUACGGGAGGCAGCAGUAGGGAAUCUUCGGCUAUGGACGAAAGUCUGACCGAGCAACGCCGCGUGAGUGAAGAAGGUUUUCGGAUCGUAAAACUCUGUUGGUAGAGAAGAACGUUGGUGAGAGUGGAAAGCUCAUCAAGUGACGGUAACUACCCAGAAAGGGACGGCUAACUACGUG
rnacentral:rRNA from 1 species